CACGUAGGCGGCCUGUUAAGUGUGGAGUGAAAUUCCACGGCUCACCCGUGGAACUGCUUCGCAUACUGGCAAGCUCGAGGACGGUAGGGGAGAGCGGAACUCUUGGUGGAGCGGUGAAAUGCGUAGAUAUCAAGAGGAACACCGAUGGCGAAGGCAGCUCUCUGGUCCGUUUCUGACGCUGAGGUGCGAAAGCUAGGGUAGCGAACG
rnacentral:rRNA from 1 species